AUGGAGAUCAGGGCACGUUUUGGAGGGUUUUUGCAAACGAUAAAUUGUAUUAAUAGAUUAUGAAAACCAGUCUGGGUUGAAAGGAGAGCGAAGGUGAAGGGAGUGUAAGAGAUAAUAAUUGGACAUCCAAGUUAGAACGACCCCCGCCAAAAAAAAAAAAAAAAUUGCAGGGAUGAAAACCUGGGGAAUACAUGACACAGAGUAGAUAAAUAAGUAAAUAAAGACAACCGACAAUAGUGAAGGCACAGAAAGUAAAAAGAGUUGGGAGGAUAGCAGAUGUAUGCUAAACUCUGGGGAUGCGAAGAACUAACUCAUUUGAAAAGACCCAGAUGCUGGGAAAGAUUGAAGGCGGGAGGAGAAUGGAACAACAGAGGAUAAGAUGGUUGGAUGGCAUCACCGACUCAAUGAACCUUGGCCUUGUAGAGAGAAGAAAACUCCCCUGCUCAACCUGGAGGAGCUGAUGAUGGAAGCAUGAAGUCUACUCAAGAAAAAGUUAUUCUCCCCCUCCCCACUUUUCCUCUGACUGUAAAACUGUAGCCCAGUAAGUUCUUGUGGCCUAACAUUUCUUGCCCACCCGUUUGUAAGCUUCACAAGCGUCCUGUUCUGAUGAAUCACUUAUCACUGUCUCUGGUUGAAUUCUUUUCUGCACUAACACUAAGGACUAUGGUAUAGCAGAGCUCUUCAGAGCCCCUGAAACGACACCUAAUGGUUUCAGAAGGGCCACAUUUCUGAUGGGUGUGAAUAGAUACAUGGUAUAAUUAGCAUCUUGGGGCAGCUAAUCCAUAACCCGUGAUUUGUCUUAAUUACAAAAUUGAAAUGCUAUUUGAAUUAGGAAAAAAAAAAACCCAAAUCAUAAAAUCAGAGUGUGUGCAGAUUCCCAGCUUCAGUGACCCCUCUGUCUUAUUCCCAUUCCCCAGAGGUCAUCCGCCACCUAUGGGAGUUACUCCAGAACCUGAAAUGUAUCUCAAGUUUCCUAGGUAGGACAGCUUCUAGAAUAAAUGCUUAAGGGAAGGUCAAAAUACCAUCUUAAUAUUACUGUGAAACUUUUGUUCCAAGUUAUAUCUGCCACAUGUAUUACUUUCUGUUUUUAAGCCCUUCAUUUUUUCCUCUUUGUCCAACUCUGGCAUAGAAGGAAUAUGAAUCUACACAACUUCAGAACUGGCUUUUUAAUAAAGCAUAAAGCGUAUUUCUGGGCCCAAAGGUAGCAAGAAUCCAGCAAGGAAGGACAGUAUGGGGAACUCAAAAGUGAGUGAUGGUAUGUGGAUGGUGAUUGUUGGGGGGGGGUAGUGGGAAGGGAGCCAGGCUCCAGAAAUCAGAGCCCCGGUAUUAGCAGGCACAGGCAGAGUGGACAGUCUUUCUCCAUCCUCAUCUGGGCCAAUCCCCUCACAGAGCCAGCAGCAAGGGGUUGAACAGGAUGGCAGAGAGGCCACAGGGAAGGGCUGCAGUGGCAGGGGCAGCGCAUCCCGCAGGGGGCGCUGGCCAGGCUGGUGGAGGGUGCACAGGCAUGGCCUUUAUGCGCAGACCCUGGGGGCUGCGACUGUGGGGAUUCAAGCUUGCUUCCUGCACCACGUGCCCCUUGUUUACAGCCAGACCAUGGGUUCCUAGAAGAGAAACCUCAGUCUUUUCAUGUGUACACAGCCCCUGGGAAAGUACAGACUCAAAACUUCAGUUGUGUGACAGGAAACUUCUGUUAAAAAAUGUUUUGGAUCCCAAAUGGGUGCCUACAAAGAAAAUUUUAGAACAGAACCAUUCCUAAGACCAUCUACUCCUUUUCAGUAAUUCAAAGUAUAUAAUAAUUUAAAAUAAUCGAGAGAAAUAAAAUGGCUUUUAGAUUUGGGCUUUGAUUCCAAUCUCAGUUCUACUCAUUAGUGG
ensembl:lncRNA